AUACAUUCCUCAGCAUUCUACUCCCAAUUUUCGUCACUGAAGCACAGGCCCUCAAAGGAAAUUUGAGAAGAUGUUCUCGUCAUGCAAUUACCUUCUUUCUUGGAGAGAUAUCAACACAGAGACGGAUAGAUUGGCUAAGGGAGGAAUCGGUCGAGUGCAACCAUGGAAGGGGUCCAUAGUUGGUUCCUAUACGAGUUGGAAGGGGUCGUGGAUGUUGGUUAAUUGCU